AUACGUAGGUGGCAAGCGUUGUCCGGAAUUAUUGGGCGUAAAGCGCAUGUAGGCGGUUUGGUAAGUCGGUCGUGAAAAUGCGGUGCUUAACGCCGUAUGGCGAUCGAAACUGCUGAACUUGAGUGCAGGAGAGGAAAGGGGAACUCCCAGUGUAGCGGUGAAAUGCGUAGAUAUUGGGAAGAACACCAGUGGCGAAGGCGGGUAACUGGACUGCAACUGACGCUGAGGCGCGAAAGUGUGGGGAGCAAACAGGAUUAGAUACCCUGGUAGUCCACACUGUAAACGAUGAAUGCUAGGUGUAAGAGGUAUCGACCCCUUUUGUGCCGGAGUCAACACAAUAAGCAUUCCGCCUGGGGAGUACGGCCGCAAGGUUGAAACUCAAAGGAAUUGGCGGGG
rnacentral:rRNA from 1 species